rnacentral:rRNA from 1 species
AUUGAACGCUGGCGGCAUGCCUUACACAUGCAAGUCGAACGGCAGCAUGGAGAGCUUGCUCUCUGAUGGCGAGUGGCGAACGGGUGAGUAAUGCAUCGGAACGUACCGUGUAAUGGGGGAUAACGUAGCGAAAGUUACGCUAAUACCGCAUACGACCUGAGGGUGAAAGCAGGGGAUCGCAAGACCUUGCGUUAUACGAGCGGCCGAUGUCAGAUUAGCUAGUUGGUGAGGUAAAGGCUCACCAAGGCGACGAUCUGUAGCGGGUCUGAGAGGAUGAUCCGCCACACUGGGACUGAGACACGGCCCAGACUCCUACGGGAGGCAGCAGUGGGGAAUUUUGGACAAUGGGGGCAACCCUGAUCCAGCCAUGCCGCGUGAGUGAAGAAGGCCUUCGGGUUGUAAAGCUCUUUCGGCCGGGAAGAAAUCGCCCCUUCUCCUACUCUGUGUGGAUGACGGUGCCGGCAUAAGAAGCACCGGCUAACUACGUGCCAGCCGCCGCUGUAA